rnacentral:rRNA from 1 species
UACGUAGGGUGCAAGCGUUGUCCGGAAUUAUUGGGCGUAAAAGAGCUCGUAGGCGGUCUGUCGCGUCUGCUGUGAAAUCUCAGGGCUUAACCCUGAGCUUGCAGUGGGUACGGGCAGACUAGAGUGCGGUAGGGGAGACUGGAAUUCCUGGUGUAGCGGUGAAAUGCGCAGAUAUCAGGAGGAACACCGGUGGGCGAAGGCGGGUCUCUGG